rnacentral:rRNA from 1 species
GAUGAACGCUGACAGAAUGCUUAACACAUGCAAGUCAACUUGAACUUCGGUUUGGGUGGCGGACGGGUGAGUAACGCGUAAAGAACUUGCCUCACAGCUAGGGACAACAUUUGGAAACGAAUGCUAAUACCUGAUAUUAUGAUUAUAUGGCAUCGUAUAAUUAUGAAAGCUAUAUGCGCUGUGAGGGAGCUUUGCGUCCCAUUAGCUAGUUGGAGAGGUAACAGCUCACCAAGGCGAUGAUGGGUAGCCGGCCUGAGAGGGUGAUCGGCCACAAGGGGACUGAGACACGGCCCUUACUCCUACGGGAGGCAGCAGUGGGGAAUAUUGGACAAUGGACCGAGAGUCUGAUCCAGCAAUUCUGUGUGCACGAUGAAGUUUUUCGGAAUGUAAAGUGCUUUCAGUUGGGAAGAAAAAAAUGACGGUACCAACAGAAGAAGUGACGGCUAAAUACGUG